rnacentral:rRNA from 1 species
CCCAGACUCCUACGGGAGGCAGCAGUGAGGAAUAUUGGUCAAUGGGCUUACGCCUGAACCAGCCAAGUCGCGUGAGGGAAGACUGCCCUAUGGGUUGUAAACCUCUUUUGUCAGGGAGCAAUUGGCGCUACGUGUAGCGUCAUCGAGAGUACCCGGAGAAAAAGCAUCGGCUAACUCCGUGCCAGCAGCCGCGGUAAUACGGAGGAUGCGAGCGUUAUCCGGAUUUAUUGGGUUUAAAGGGUGCGUAGGCGGGCGGUUAAGUCGGGGGGAAAAGGUGGGGGCGAAACCCCGGCCUGCCGGUGAAACUGGCGGCCUCGAGUGGGCGAGAAGUAUGCGGAAUGCGUGGUGUAGCGGUGAAAUGCAUGGAUAU